AUUGAACGCUGGCGGCAUGCCUUACACAUGCAAGUCGAACGGCAGCGCGGGAGCAAUCCUGGCGGCGAGUGGCGAACGGGUGAGUAAUAUAUCGGAACGUGCCCAGUAGUGGGGGAUAGCCCGGCGAAAGCCGGAUUAAUACCGCAUGAGACCUGAGGGUGAAAGCGGGGGAUCGCAAGACCUCGCGCUAUUGGAGCGGCCGAUAUCAGAUUAGCUAGUUGGUGGGGUAAAGGCCUACCAAGGCAACGAUCUGUAGUUGGUCUGAGAGGACGACCAGCCACACUGGGACUGAGACACGGCCCAGACUCCUACGGGAGGCAGCAGUGGGGAAUUUUGGGCAAUGGGCGCAAGCCUGAUCCAGCAAUGCCGCGUGCAGGAA
rnacentral:rRNA from 1 species